rnacentral:sRNA from 1 species
CCAAAACAAACAAACAAAACCCAAAACUGAAUCAAUAAAAUCCUAUGAGCUUUGGAGCCAAGAAAAUUUAGGUUUAAAUUUUCUCCACUUCCAGCUGUGAGCUCAGACAAAUGACACGUGGCUCUGCAUUUUAGAUCCCUCCUUUGUGACGUCAAAAUGCUGAUAUUCCAAGUGCCGAACACGUAGUCUUAACCACCUACAAAUGCUAGUAUCUUUUCACUCACACCAUACCAAACCCAAGGAUGCUUCUUUAGUGAGGAGUUUCAAGAUAACUAAAACACAUCUGCAAAUAAUCAUAACACAUAUUUAAAAAUGUAAAUUAAAUGUAAGUAGGACGAUGUGUCUGGAGAUGGAUUUAUUCUUAGAAGCACCACUCACUGUGAAAACUCUUGGAAAACCCAUUUCAUCUUCUGUUCCAUAGUUUUCCUGUUUCUACGACUGAAAUAGGAGUCCUCUCUGCCCAGUGAGAUGACUGCUAAGGAUGAAAUGUGGUAAGUUAUACGGUGCUGAUGUGCUCACGAGUACAUAAGAAGACAGUCUAGAGGCUGCUGUGGUGCUCAGUCGAGUGCUGGGCGUGCAUGAGAGGCCCUAGGUUCAAUCCACAGCAGUGAAACCAAAACACAACCACAACAAAAAACCCAAACUAAAGACUAUUCCUAGAGGGCCUAGUUGUUAUUUACAAUGCCACAUAAAUGGGAUACAACUUAGAAUAUCGACAAAACCAAUGACAAAUUUUGUUUUAUCUUUUAUGCUCUCAAAAUAGUAAAAUGUAGUUGCAGAUUUUCAAAUACUUUAUAAACAAAUUUGAAUUUCAAAAUUUAAAAGAGCAUGCUUGACAAAGCAUGGAAAUUGUAUCAUUUCUGAGUUUAGAAGCAUGACUAACAGUGAAAGGUGGCACACACAGAGAGACACACUGCUCGGCAGAUUGCUGUGGUGCCUCAGAACAUUUAAAUGUGCUUUUUUAGACAGCAAGAGAGGUGACUAAAAAGCGCCUUGUCAGCCUGCAGUCCUCAUUGCCAGGCACAUCAGUGCAGCCUGGGCACCUUUUCUCUGGUCUGGAAUUUCAGAAGCAGGGAGCACAAAGGAUCUGAUGAGCAAUGAGCGCUUCGGCCUUCCUCAAUUAAUCUUGUCUCUCUACCUUUGCCUUUGCUUUCCCACUACAUGAAGGUAAUAAUGACACCCUCAUCCAUUAUCCUUUUAUCCCUGUUAUUCUCGUGAAAUUGCUUAAUAAUAUGUUACAGAUUCGUCUCCACUCACAUAAUUCUUCCUGUCAUUUGCAGUAUAUCAUCCUACAAACACACAGCCCACUCUCACUGGCCGCUCUUUGAAGAUUAUUGUCAGUGACAUCUUCAGGAUGCGUUUGGAAUCUAGAGCAUCAUUUGUGUUGCAAUGGGGAAUUACGCUGACUUAUCUGUCAUUGCCAAAAGCACAACAAGCGAGUCAAUGUUAAUGCAAAGAUCCUCGUCCGUUGGCCGUGAGGUGGAGGGUCCCUGACACGGUGAGACGACAGCACUGGAAGCUCUUGGGUGUGAAACUGCCGUGGUACAGAGAAGUAAGGGCAUCACAUCACCACCCCCGAUGGCUCUGUGCCACGCGGACUUCAUCAGGCCUCCUAAUUCUUGGCAAAUGCAAGACUCGUGUGAUGACUUUGAAAAA